rnacentral:tRNA from 1 species
UCCCUGGUGGUCCAGUUGUUAGAGCUUGGCACUUUCACUGCCAUGGCCCAGGUUUAAUCCCUGGUCAGGGUA